rnacentral:lncRNA from 10 species
GAGAAACACUUCAGACUCAAGGGAUCAACAGUCUACUGCAGAUGUGACAAGAAGUGAACUGUGUACCCACUCCUUCCAGUCCAGCUUCUCAUGACUUCUGGACGGAUCUUCAGCAGAACCAUGUGAAGUCUCUGCUUCUACCAUACCCUUAGCAGGAUCAAGAGAUGCUCCCACCACACCCACAAUCUCCAAAUAUUUAUUUGUGGCCUUCAUGAAGUGGUCAAAAGGAUCACUUCUCAGAGGGCGAUAUUAGAUUACCUACUGCCUUUCUUACCUUAACAAGGGGGAGAACUUCCAUCCUGGCUUGGCCUGGAGAUCCUAUACCCUGCCACUGACUCCCCAUCCUCAAUACAUCAGUUUAUAUAACUCAGAGUUUUGCCCUGGAACACUGCAUGAUGUACCUAUUAGAACCACAAGCUUCCUUGGUCACACUUGUAUUUAUUGUGAAUAAUAAUUUUAAAAAUCUACAAGUGGAAGCUUUAUAAUAACAACAAAAUUAUUGGGAAAAUAUAAGUAUUUCAUAAAACCCAAAAUACAAUUCCAAAAAAUCCAAAGCAACACACCACAGGUGCAUAAACAAGGGUAGCUCAGGAGGAUUAAACAUUAGGUCUUCUAAAUAAUGUUCUCUGUACUAAGACGGCAUUAAUGAGACCUAGCAAGCCAUCACUCAGUCUCGCCGUCUAGUUCCAAACUCCAAAAUUAAGAGGUUAAGUGUUGAGAUAGGUUCAACUAGAGUGAGGCGACAAAGAUCAAACCAAGUAGCUAUGGCCAGUGAACUCAGUCACCACAGCAAAUAGAAGGAUGUGUGUGUAGUGGAUAGUUCACAGAGAAAAGAUUCCUGCUGGACAGACCAAUCAGCCUGAGACUGUCAUCCCAUAGGAUACAAAUAUACUACAUAUCAUAUUUUGACAUCUGCUGAUAUGUAAAAUUCCAAGGUUCCUUGUGUAAGCACAAGCACACAUACUAUAAACAACGAAAACAACCCAAAGUCCAUGCCAAGGCCAAACCAAAGGUACAGCACACUGAGGGCUGAUGUCACAGGACCCCUCUUUGAUUUGAAAUCCUCCAGGUGAAGUUUAUGGCUUCUGUAGAACUGCUGUGAUUAUUUGAGAUUCAGAAAUCUACAGACUGAAGGUUAAUCUUUUUUGAGACAGGGUCUCACUCUGUCACCCAGGCUGGAGUGCAGUAGUGCGAUCUCGUCUCACUGUAACCUCCUCCUCCCAGGCUCAAGCGAUCCUCCCAUCUCAGCCUCCUGGGUACAAGAGCAUGCCACCACACACAGCUAAUUUUUUUAUUUUUUGUAGAGACUGGGUAUCAUCAUGUUGCCCAGGCUGGUCUUGAACUCCUGGGCUUAAGUGAUGCAUCUGCUUCAGCCUCCCAAGGUGCUGAAAUUACAAGCAUGAGCCACUGUGCCCAGCCUGAAAAUUAAUCUGAAACACUGCCAAUGUAAAAUAUUACAUACAAACUGAAGAAUCAAGGCAAAAAUAAUUACGUGGAAGCUCUAAAUUGCAUUUCCCAUUUCUGCAGUAGAAACAUUCUUCUCCCUGAGCUCUAAUAUCAAAAAACAUUUGAGGGGGAACAUUCAUUUGUUAUUUUGGGAAGUUCUGUGUUUGACUAUGAAGCCAGAUUCCUAGACCCAUCUAUUCUGGGCUCUGAAAGAGAAGCACAGGUGCUUGGGUCCUGCCUAAAAGUACAUUCCACAUGCUGUAGAUCGGCAUUUUGACUAUAUAGUCUGUAGUUUCCAAGUUCAUACUAUAAUGGAGUCUAUAACAGGUCUUUGCAGCUUUCCAUAAGGCUGCAUAAUGAUACCUGACUGAUGGUAUAGAUUGAGAAAAAUCAGUGAAUAGCAUUGGGCAUCAAGCCACUGCUAUUCUUCGAUCAAGUUGUUAAGAAGUAGUACAGUAGUACAGUAGGUGUGAAUAUUAAAACGAAGGGCAAGAGAAGCUCAGAAACCCCACCCCAAUCCAAUGUUAGGUGGCCUGUCUGGCAGGACUCAUUAAUUCUUCUUCUUCUUAUUAUUAUUAUUAUUAGAGACAGAGUCUUUCUCUGUUGCCCAGGCCAGAGUGCAGUGGUGCAAUCUCGGCUUACUGCAACCUCUGCCUCCCGGGUUCAAGCGAUUCUCAUGCCCCAGCCUCCCAAGUAGCUGGAAUUACAGAUGUGUCCCACCAUGCCUGGCUAAUUUUUCUAUUUUUAGUAAAAACAGGUUUUCGCCAUAUUGGCCAGGCUGGUCUCGAACUCCUGACCUCAUGUAAUCUUCCCGCUUCAGCCUCCCAAAAUGUUGGGAUUACAGGAGUGAGGCACCAUGCCCUGCCAGGAUUCUCUGGAUAAAUUAUCAGAUAUAAAUUCUUAUAUUGUGAUACUGGAGUAAGCACAACAGCCUGAGUGAGAGUACAAACCCAAAUCCAGAGGCAUCCAGAGGAGAUCAUUCAAACUGUCAUUGUAUCUCACAUGCAGAGAAAACAACUAAAUUACCCGCCACGUCAAUCAUCCUAUAGCCUCCUAAGUUCUUCAGAGAUGUUUGAAUCAGUUUGUAAGCCAAUAGAAUGCAUGGAUACAAUAAAUCCUGUCCAAUAGAAACUGAUAAAAUUAUGCCUAAGUUAUCCCAUCCACCAAGUCAGGGCUUGAGGUAGAUCUGAAGUAGUUCACGAGUAGAUAAGAGUGCAUGGAAAAAACAAAUUACACAUCAAAAUCAUGCGGAAUCCCAAUUAUAAUUGUUUUCCUUUUAACCACUGACACAAGUACCCUGAAAUUGGCUCAGGAGUGUAGAUAUAUCAAGGUAUUCCCCAGUGGCAGCCCAACAGCAUAGGCAGUCUGACAAAGAAAACUGGACUCCCAGAAAGAACAUCAACAGAAAAGUAGGACCAAGACACAACCCCAUGAAGGUCACAUUGCCAAUUUUAGAUGCAGGACCUGUGCCUCAAUUUAAGAGGCAAAAAGAGCCCCCGUGGCUUCUACUUCAUCUCCCUAUCAUGGUGGCCUUUUGCUCCAAUGGUCAGCAAGUCAAGGUGAAUUUUCACAAAUGCUUAACAUGUAAUAUGCUCACAUGUUCGUUUCUAUUAUGUUUUAGAUUAUAUUAAUGAACAAUGGAUGACAAAAAUGUGGAAAAUAUUUGGAGGAAUCUCAAACUCCCUCCAUGUAAGUUUUUCUAAAUGUGUGUUGAGUCUUGUACUCCUUGACAGCCAGAUAUAUGUGAAAAGAACUUCAACCUGACCGGGCACAUUGGCUCACACCUGUAAUCCCAG